rnacentral:rRNA from 1 species
CAGCAGCCACGGUAAUACGUAGGGUGCAAGCGUUAAUCGGAAUUACUGGGCGUAAAGAGUGCGCAGGCGGUUAUAUAAGACAGAUGUGAAAUCCCCGGGCUCAACCUGGGAACUGCAUUUGUGACUGUAUAGCUAGAGUACGGCAGAGGGGGAUGGAAUUCCGCGUGUAGCAGUGAAAUGCGUAGAUAUGCGGAGGAACACCGAUGGCGAAGGCAAUCCCCUGGGCCUGUACUGACGCUCAUGCACGAAAGCGUGGGGAGCAAACAGGAUUAGAUACCCCCGUAGUCCCUGUCUCUUAUAC